GACGAACGCUGGCGGCGUGCUUAACACAUGCAAGUCGAACGGAAAGGCCCUGCUUUUGUGGGGUGCUCGAGUGGCGAACGGGUGAGUAACACGUGAGUAACCUGCCCUUGACUUUGGGAUAACUUCAGGAAACUGGGGCUACUACCGGAUAGGAGCUCCUGCUGCAUGGUGGGGGUUGGAAAGUUUCGGCGGUUGGGGAUGGGCUCGCGGCUUAUCAGCUUGUUGGUGGGGUAGUGGCUUACCAAGGCUUUGACGGGUAGCCGGCCUGAGAGGGUGACCGGCCACAUUGGGCCUGAGAUACGGCCCAGACUCCUACGGGAGGCAGCAGUGGGGAAUAUUGCACAAUGGGCGGAAGCCUGAUGCAGCAACGCCGCGUGCGGGAUGACGGCCUUCGGGUUGUAAACCGCUUUCGCCUGUGACGAAGCGUGAGUGACGGUAAUGGGUAAAGAAGCACCGGCUAACUACGUG
rnacentral:rRNA from 1 species